rnacentral:rRNA from 1 species
UAUACAGCGAAACUGCGAAUGGCUCAUUAUAUAAGUUAUCGUUUAUUUGAUAGUGCCUUACUACUUGGAUGACCGUGGUAAUUCUAGAGCUAAUACAUGCUAAAAACCCCGACUUCGGAAGGGGUGUAUUUAUUAGAUACAAAACCAAUGCCCUUCGGGGCUCUUUGGUGAUUCAUGAUAACUAUACGAAUCGCACGGCCUUGCGCCGGCGAUGGUUCAUUCAAAUUUCUUCCCUAUCAACUUUCGAUGUUUGGGUAUUGGCCAAACAUGGUUGCAACGGGUAACGGAGGGUUAGGGCUCGACCCCGGAGAAGGAGCCUGAGAAACGGCUACUACAUCCAAGGAAGGCAGCAGGCGCGCAAAUUACCCAAUCCCGACUCGGGGAGGUAGUGACAAUAAAUACUGAUACAGGGCCCUUUCGGGCCUUGUAAUUGGAAUGAGUACAAUUUAAAUCCCUUAACGAGGAACAAUUGGAGGGCAAGCCUGGUGCCAGCAGCCGCGGUAAUUCCAGCUCCAAUAGCGUAUAU